rnacentral:rRNA from 1 species
AUAACUCCGGGAAACCGGAGCUAAUACCGGAUAACAUUUUGAACCGCAUGGUUCAAAAUUGAAAGAUGGCUUCGGCUAUCACUUACAGAUGGACCCGCGGCGCAUUAGCUAGUUGGUGAGGUAACGGCUCACCAAGGCGACGAUGCGUAGCCGACCUGAGAGGGUGAUCGGCCACACUGGGACUGAGACACGGCCCAGACUCCUACGGGAGGCAGCAGUAGGGAAUNUUCCGCAAUGGACGAAAGUCUGACGGAGCAACGCCGCGUGAACGAUGAAGGCCUUCGGGUNGUAAAGUUUCUGUUGUUAGGGAAGAACAAGUAUCAGAGUAACUGCUGGUACCUUGACGGUAC